UACGUAGGGUCCGAGCGUUGUCCGGAAUUAUUGGGCGUAAAGGGCUCGUAGGCGGUUUGUUGCGUCGGGAGUGAAAACUUCGAGCUUAACUCGGAGCUUGCUUUCGAUACGGGCAGACUUGAGGCAUUCAGGGGAGAACGGAAUUUCUGGUGUAGCGGCGAAAUGCGCAGAUAUCAGAAGGAACACCGGUGGCGAAGGCGGUUCUCUGGGAAUGUUCUGACGCUGAGGAGCGAAAGUGUGGGGAGCGAACAGG
rnacentral:rRNA from 1 species